rnacentral:rRNA from 1 species
UACGUAGGAUGCAAGCGUUGUCCGGAUUUACUGGGCGUAAAGCGCGCGCAGGCGGCACAUUAAGUCAGGUGUGAAAUAUCCCGGCUCAACCGGGAGGGUGCACUUUAGACUGAUGAGCUUGAGGUCGGUAGAGGGGGGUGGAAUUGCUGGUGUAGCGGUGAAAUGCGUAGAGAUCAGCAGGAACACCCGUGGCGAAGGCGGCCCCCUGGGCCGUACCUGACGCUGAGGAGCGAAAGCAUGGGGAGCGAACAGG